AACGGGUUAAUAUUCCCGUACUUGGUGUUACUGCGAAGGGGGGACGGAGAAGGCUAUGUUGGCCGGGCGACGGUUGUCCCGGUUUAAGCGUGUAGGCUGGUUUUCCAGGCAAAUCCGGAAAAUCAAGGCUGAGGCGUGAUGACGAGGCACUACGGUGCUGAAGCAACAAAUGCCCUGCUUCCAGGAAAAGCCUCUAAGCAUCAGGUAACAUCAAAUCGUACCCCAAACCGACACAGGUGGUCAGGUAGAGAAUACCAAGGCGCUUGAGAGAACUCGGGUGAAGGAACUAGGCAAAAUGGUGCCGUAACUUCGGGAGAAGGCACGCUGACACGUAGGUGAAGUGAUUUACUCAUGGAGCUGAAGUCAGUCGAAGAUACCAGCUGGCUGCAACUGUUUAUUAAAAACACAGCACUGUGCAAACACGAAAGUGGACGUAUACGGUGUGACGCCUGCCCGGUGCCGGAAGGUUAAUUGAUGGGGUCAGCGCAAGCGAAGCUCCUGAUCGAAGCCCCGGUAAACGGCGGCCGUAACUAUAACGGUCCUAAGGUAGCGAAAUUCCUUGUCGGGUAAGUUCCGACCUGCACGAAUGGCGUAAUGAUGGCCAGGCUGUCUCCACCCGAGACUCAGUGAAAUUGAACUCGCUGUGAAGAUGCAGUGUACCCGCGGCAAGACGGAAAGACCCCGUGAACCUUUACUAUAGCUUGACACUGAACAUUGAGCCUUGAUGUGUAGGAUAGGUGGGAGGCUUUGAAGUGUGGACGCCAGUCUGCAUGGAGCCGACCUUGAAAUACCACCCUUUAAUGUUUGAUGUUCUAACGUGGACCCGUUACCCGGGUUGCGGACAGUGUCUGGUGGGUAGUUUGACUGGGGCGGUCUCCUCCUAAAGAGUAACGGAGGAGCACGAAGGUUGGCUAAUCCUGGUCGGACAUCAGGAGGUUAGUGCAAUGGCAUAAGCCAGCUUGACUGCGAGCGUGACGGCGCGAGCAGGUGCGAAAGCAGGUCAUAGUGAUCCGGUGGUUCUGAAUGGAAGGGCCAUCGCUCAACGGAUAAAAGGUACUCCGGGGAUAACAGGCUGAUACCGCCCAAGAGUUCAUAUCGACGGCGGUGUUUGGCACCUCGAUGUCGGCUCAUCACAUCCUGGGGCUGAAGUAGGUCCCAAGGGUAUGGCUGUUCGCCAUUUAAAGUGGUACGCGAGCUGGGUUUAGAACGUCGUGAGACAGUUCGGUCCCUAUCUGCCGUGGGCGCUGGAGAACUGAGGGGGGCUGCUCCUAGUACGAGAGGACCGGAGUGGACGCAUCACUGGUGUUCGGGUUGUCAUGCCAAUGGCACUGCCCGGUAGCUAAAUGCGGAAGAGAUAAGUGCUGAAAGCAUCUAAGCACGAAACUUGCCCCGA
rnacentral:rRNA from 1 species